AUAUCUCUCCGUACGGGAAGGAUGAGAAGCUUCGACUAAGGUUCGAUUCGAGCGAAAGCGAGAAAGCGUUGCCGCAGGCAACGACCCGAAGGGCGAAGC
rnacentral:sRNA from 1 species